UAGAAGAGUCCUUACAGCUGAGCUUUGCUUCCCCUCUCCCCUUAAGGGGGCUCCCCAGCAGAGCUAUGCUGCUUCUCCCUGGCCCCGAAAUGCUGCUUCUUCAGCUUCUGUUAAAGGGGAACCUCUGCAGAAAUGUAGCAAUCUCCUCCGGCAAAAAGUUGUUACUUUUUUCUGCUCAGCCCCCCUAAGAGAACAUCUCAACAAGGUUUUUUCCUCCUCAGCCUCCCUAAGGGAACGUCUGAACAAAGGUUCUUCUGUUCUGUGCUGGUGAAAGAUCUUCACCCAGAACUCUUUCAAGAGAUUUAUUUGGGAAGGAGGAGUUCAGGAGAGCGGCUGCCUCUGCCAGGGUGAGAAAGAACAGCCCACAACUGAACUGGCAGAGGGGCAUAUAUAGGGCUUCUCAGGGGCAGAGUUUCUCCAUAGAGAAGAUUUUCUGUCCAGGGAUUGAGCCUGGGGAAACGGUUCUUUCACAGAACAGAAAACUGCAUGCUUCCGUAACAGAAAGAAUCUUUAACCUAGACUGACCUCAAAAUCCCUGUGUCACCGAAGGUGAUGCUGGUCUGCUCAUCCACCUGCUUCUGUGUGAGGACUAGUGGGCAUGUGCCAUCACACCUGGAUUCUGCAGUCCUGGGGAGGGAACCCAGGACUCUGCGCAUGUAAAGCAAGCUCUCUCCCAACUGGGCCACAUCUCCAGACCCUGUGCAGAGUAUAACGUCUUCAUAUAAUACCUAAUAAUUUCAUUUUAGGCUUUGUACUUUUAACACUGCCUCUAGUUUCCCACAUUCUCAAAAUUCUAAAGUAAUAUCUUAGUGGACACACAAAAUGCAUUUUAGAAACAUCCCACUGCUUCACUGUUGUCACUUACACGCACUUACAUUUUUCCAGCCUCUGGGCACUGUACGUAGUGCUAUAUCACAGAGCACAGAGGAGAUGAACUGGGGGGAAGAUAAAGUAGCUGUGAUCCCCAAAAAUGUAAAACUAAGUUGAAAGCAAGUGAGACCACUUUCCCUUGUCAGUGGUGGGAAAGGCAUCAAGACUGACUGAGGACCAGCUCCGACAACUUAAAAACAUGACACGCACAUUAACAAAAAUAGCCCCGGAGGGAAGAAUUUCUCCUUGUGACCGAACUAUGGUGCAUUCUGUUUGUGGUUCCGUAGAUUUAUGAUUGUAAUGGGACCCCCAUGCUCUUCUUAUGUGCCUUUUGUUUGCAUGGGAUAUGAGGUCUUUCCUUUGCACCCGUAACUGUGGGGUCUCUAAUUGUCUCCAUUGUGUUUUGUUACUCUUGGCAACAAUAAAAUGUCGCUGUUCUCCUUAUGCCUGUCUAAUAAAUGCCAUUAUCGUGUU